rnacentral:lncRNA from 1 species
CCCGGACUUGCCCUCACUCAGACUGCGCACGCGCAGAGCGGGCAGCCGCGUUCGUCCAAUCGUCCCUCCUCCCAAGCUUUAAGUGACAGCCAGGGUAGCCAAUUGGCUCUGCGGGGACGAAGGGGAGGACGGCGCUCUCCCGGAAGAAGGAUCGGGGAGGGAGCUUGCAUGUAACAGGCAGCAGUAGAAGCCAAUGAGAUGGCCGAACAGGGCAGGGCUGGCCAAUAGGAGAGGCGGGGGGCGGGGCGUGCAGGGGGCCGCGCAGGGCCGGAGCCUGUGCCUGCGCCUGCGCCUGCGCCGGGUUUGUCCGGUACGGCUGUGCCGCUCGGUGUGCACCGCUCCUCGGGACAGCGUGUGCCGGGGCCCUCCUCGGGAAAUAUUUCUUCCUUCUAUGGAAACCAACGAGCACCCGGGCCUGCACUCUUGAUAUAAAUACCCGGUGAUGACCGACUUAUUGCGGGCGACCGGGCGACGAAUCCACCGUUGGGACAGCACUGCCGGUGUCAGGCCGUUCUUCCUAGAAAGAAAGAAAAAAAAAAAUCUAAAAUCUUUAAGAUAUGUGUGGGAUCUGUUGAGUCACGGCCUGAACCACGGAUUGAUCACCUGUGGAAAGGACCCAGUCAGCCCUGAGAGCACAGGUGGAUUUGCCACAAGGUUUCUCACAAUGACUAACAGUAGAAGGAAAUGUGCUCUGAAGGGGUGUGCUUGCAAGUCGGCUCAAGAGAAAUGAAAAUCGUUGUAGCGGGGACCCUGCCUGGGAGCAGAGCAUUACCAAAUACGUUACUAUGCAAAGAAUCUCAUGUUGAAUAAUUUAGAAAUACCUUUUUGUUAGUGGUCAAGUAAAACAUGGCAACAGAGGGUAAUCUCAGGAAAAAGAGGGGAUAAAAACAUCUCUAUCAAGCCCAGACUUGAUGGGAAAGGAAGAGCUGAACAAGUGUGCGUGUCUGGGGGUGUUCAUCUUCUAGACUGCACCCAGAGAAGGAGAAUGAUUGUGAUGCUGCAGUCUCGGAACUCCAGUCAGUACACAAAUGGAAGGAUUUCUGGGCUGAGAUGAAUUUAUCUCCGCAGCUUCUAAUCUUUUGGAUUUUGUGUUCUAGUGCAGUGAAGCUUUUGGGCAUGAUUUAUCAUCACUAUAGCUAACACUGUAUGGGAAAAAAACUGACUUUAGAUCUUACAUCAAAGCUUUUAACAAAGCUUGUUUCCCUGGAUUUUACUUGCUUUCCAUUGUCUCCACCUCUCUGGUGCCUCUUUAAAAUAUAUGCCUAAUCUGAAAGCUGA